GUGGAGCCUAAACUUUUAAAGGGCAAUUAAACAUCUUAAAGAGGAAGUCUCCCCAGGUGUUACUGGUUAUGAAUUGUCUUUCUUGGCCAGUAAAUUAAGCUAUGCUCUGUUGAAGAGGUUGGCCAACAUGGGCCUGUUGCCUGCCAUAAGCUAAAAGUAUUUUGUUUUAAAAAGGCAUAGAAGACCAUGCAAGAGACCUUUGUAGCCUUCAGAAUUCUCUUAAGUUUGCUAACCCUUCUUGUACUAGAAAAGUGCAGGGUUCCAGAAUACUAAGUUUGGUUAGCUAGAUAUUAAUAUUUCACACCUUAAUUGGCAAGAAGGUAAUAAGAAAGGUUUCAAAUAAGCAUGUUGUGUUAUUUUCU
rnacentral:lncRNA from 1 species